rnacentral:SRP_RNA from 13 species
AACAGCAGGAACAGGCCCAGGAGGGAGAACACGAGCAGCCAGAACCGUCCCGCGCGGCU